UAUUAUUCAAUAAUACAGAUGCAGUCCCUCCUACUACUUAUGCUACCAAAAGGAAUGUGAAAUCUAAAGUCAAGUCUGAUUGUUCCCUAAAGCAAUGUUCACAUCCUGAUGAGUCUAAUUGGGUCUUUUGUUGCAGCUGCAACCAGUGGUAUCACUGUUAUUGUUAUAAAAUUUCAUUUCAAAAGGCGAAAUCAAAAAACUUUAAAUUUACAUGUAACAACUGUAAAUAAUAACUAAUUUUAAUAAUAAUCAAUAAUGUUAGGCGUGUCCGUUUAUUGUAGAAGAAGUUAAAUAUUUUUUAUGGUA
rnacentral:lncRNA from 1 species